UGUAUACUAAGACCCGAGCAAGCCUCCCUGCUUCCUGAUGAGAACUACAGCAGGCUUGACCAAAACAUUUGGUUUCCUCUUCCCAAAGUCACCUGUGCCAGGAAUGGAAAUUGGAGCAGAUCAGGUGUUGCUCGGCAAAUCUCAAGGUUGUUGAACUUAAGGGCCUUUGAACGAGGGAAGCAUUUCAACUCUGUGGUAUGAAUCUGAACCACCAUCGCCUCCAAAUCUACUUGCAAGAAUCACACCUCUGGAAGUUGGGGAGUGCAGGGGCCAUGCGAGAUCCAUGUAGCCCUUUCUUUAUUAGGGAGAAAAGUAAAUGCUGAAGGAGAGGCCAAGCAGGUAUUUCAAAGGAGAUUUCACUGGUGCACCAAGCCCAUGGAGAUCUGUUAUGUCACAGUCCAAGGAUGAAAGAGCAAGAAGAGGA